UUGCAUUUGAAGCCCAUGAGGAUGAGAACCUCCGGGGGCGGGGAGGUUCGACUCGAGCGAAGCGAGAGAACGUUGCGCCAGCAACGGCCCGCAGGGCG
rnacentral:sRNA from 3 species